rnacentral:tRNA from 2 species
GCCGGGGUGGCGGAACGGCAGACGCAGCGGACUUAAAAUCCGCUGGGCCAUUGGCCCGUGCGGGUUCAAAUCCCGCCCCCGGUA